GGAUACGAGCUCAGGAUGUGGGCUAGGGGUAUAGGCUACAGAUGCAGGUUUGGGGUCAGGAUGCGGGCUGGAGAUGUAGUCUAGGCCUGUAGGCUAUGGAUGUGGGCUAGGGAUGCAGGUCACAGAUGCUGAGACAUACAACAAGGGGCCCUCACAUGAGAAAAUGUCUUCUUCUUCUGCAACAGAGAAGCUUCUCUUUCCUGAAAGUGAUUGUUGGAUUCCUUACAUUUUAGAAACAGCUACAAUUUCAGCAAGUGGACUCCGUGUUGUUUGCAUUUCUGAACGGUUACCCCUCACUGGCCCACUGCUGGAGCCACCAGGAAGUUGGCCAGAGAGGUCUGCGGAGCCCUGUGGAACACCAGCCAGGACACUCAUCACCACCUGUCCCAGUGAGUGAUGGAGACCCGCACUCAGAGGAAAUAAGCUGCUACACUGACCACAGUCCCUGAAGAUUUUUAUCUUGAUUCAUCUCAUAAAACUGUCUCAGCAGCACACUCAGCCUGACAAGAUCCCUCAUUACCAAGCGAUGUUGCAACUUCCCAGUGGCUUCCUCUUCAUCUCCUCUCAAAACUCAUCACAAGGGCUCCUUAUCUUCUGGUGUCAUUUCCGCCCUCAGUGUUGUCAACAAGCCCGCGAGGAGGCGCUGUUACCUCCAGGAGGCAAAACGCCCAGGAUCCACCCACGGAACUCCACCCUGUGAAACGCUUCAGAAUCGCUCCGUUCUCGCUCAUGCGCCCUUUCUUCCAGAUGAAGGUUUGGAUCCACAUUUCUCUCUGGAGAGUCUCUGCUGGGUGCUCAGCCCCAGCUGCGUUUAGAGAGCAGUUUAACAGACGCCGAGCAUCAUGGCUUCCAUCCAGGGCCAUUAGAAAACCCAUCUUUCCAGGACACCCCUCAGACUUCCAGGAUCCCAGAUGGGACUCGCCUGGACGUGCCUACCUUUCCCAGGCAGCUGCCCGUCUUUGCUGUGAAAGUACCACCGCGCCCAGGACGGCACGUGUGCGCCCGGUCCCCAGGGGGCUGUUCUCGUUUAUCCCCACGUGCAGCGCCAGCUUUAGUUCUUCCUCCAGCGCUGAGCAGUUGUGUCUCAGCCCCCCGGCCCUCGCCCCUCCCCUCUCCCUGCGCCCCUCACCACGUCUUGCCCAGGCCUUGGUCUGUUCCUUCCAUUUGUCACCUGCUCUGUCCCCCCACCCACGGCAGAUGAGCACUAGGCGGCGUGGCUUGGUGCUCACGCUGCAGUCCCCAGGGCGCGGUUGUGAUUCACAGGAAGAGCCUCAGCUCAUCAGCACCCUUAUCGUCCCUCUGACUGCACGUUCACCCGCCCCACUGAGCGACUGUCUCAGCUCUCCUAGGUUACGAUGGGAAACCAACGACUGUUUGCAUGAAUAACUAGGCAAUACUGGUCCCAUGAAGCUCCCUGACUGCGGGCACGAUCCAUCGUGAGUGUUUAAAGCUGCCUCUCGGUGUUCCGUAUGGUCUGUAUUUCUGCAUAUCUAUCCUUCAACCUCUGUUACUCAUUAUAUCCUUGGUUUCACUAAAAUUUUACACCUUUUGUGUUUCACAU
ensembl:lncRNA